ACAGGAUACCAAUAUUCAUUUGUACAAAGUGCUAACAUCGAAAUUCGGAUACAGAACCAAGAAAAUAACGAAAUUGUCAGAUACCCACACAUUGGCUUCUUCAUGAGCUUCUUGUUCUUCUUAAAAUAUAUUCGAAAGACAACAACAACAAGAAACAAUCUCUGCAAGAAUCAUCAUAAGAAGUGCCAAGGUGGAUCCAAGGAGAUAACAUAUAUGCCUCGAAUGACCCAUGCCAAUUCUGUCCAGUUACGUACGGUCUUAUUCAAAACAAGGUGUUUUGUAGGAUUUGGCCAAUCAGUAGCUUUGGAUCGCUGGGACAAGGAAUCUAGUAGAGAAGGUGUUUGGUCCUAGUAUGCUCCGACUUUAAGUAUAACAGGUGAUUUGGUUUUGAUGGAGAAGAUAUCUACUCAAUUAGGGAAGGUGAAUUAUAGAGACGUGGAGCGUACACUGAGAAUGUUAUAAAGAAUCUUACCAAGCAUAUUUUGGGCAUGGAAGGAGACAAUGUAACUUACUUGAUCGACCCGAAUGUCGAACUAUUACGAACGAGAAUGGAUGAUGCCAUUAGAGAGAUGCAUGGCAGGGAACUUGGUGAACAUGUUAUAUAAGUCAACAAAGCCCAGCCUAGGAGUGGUGGAGGGUGUGAUCGGUAUGCUGGUGGGGACAGGUACCCAGCUGCUGGAGGAGAUCGUUUUGGAGGUUGUGAUCGUUGUGUGGCUGCAGAUCGGUACCCUCAGAAUGGCCAUAGCAAGGACAGGGCAUAUGACAGAGAUGCAGCCCCAAGGACUGGUGGCGGCGCUGCGGGUGCUGAUAGCGAUAGGUAUGGAAAUGGAGGGCCAACACGUUGAGGGAGGAAGUUACAGGGACAGGGCAGGUCCUUAUGAUUGCCCAAGCAGGGAGCACACAACCUUCAUCCUACGAAGACCGCUACUGAGGGAUACUAGUUGCAUGAUUUUGUUUAGGUUGGGACAAGUUAGGAUGGUUGGUCUGUUUGUGUUGGUGGUAUAGAUGUUAGAAUUUUACUGCAUUCUUUAACUUUUGUUCAAUCUUGUGCCAAUCAACUCUGGCUU